rnacentral:rRNA from 1 species
GAUGAACGCUGGCUACAGGCUUAACACAUGCAAGUCGAGGGGAAACGACGGGGAAGCUUGCUUCCCCGGGCGUCGACCGGCGCACGGGUGAGUAACGCGUAUCCAACCUGCCUCUGACUGAGGGAUAACCCGUCGAAAGUCGGCCUAAUACCUCAUGGUAUCGUCUGCGGGCAUCCAACGACGAUUAAAGAUUUCAUCGGUCAGGGAUGGGGAUGCGUCUGAUUAGCUUGUUGGCGGGGUAACGGCCCACCAAGGCUACGAUCAGUAGGGGUUCUGAGAGGAAGGUCCCCCACAUUGGAACUGAGACACGGUCCAAACUCCUACGGGAGGCAGCAGUGAGGAAUAUUGGUCAAUGGGCGAGAGCCUGAACCAGCCAAGUAGCGUGCAGGAAGACGGGCCUAUGGGUUGUAAACUGCUUUUAUGCGGGGAUAAAGUGAGGGACGUGUCCCUCAUUGCAGGUACCGCAUGAAUAAGGACCGGCUAAUUCCGUG